rnacentral:sRNA from 1 species
UAGACAGCCCUGGAGAAGAAGAGCUCUGUUUAUCCACUGAACAGGUAUGGCACAGGCACUAUGAGCCUCCCACAAACCUGAAGCAACCCUCUGUAAGGGUGAGCAGGGACAGCCGUAUUUAAAUAGCUUGUCGGUCUCUUGGAACU